CCUGGUCAUGAAGAAGAAAAAGAAACAAGGAAAGAAAGCAUGUUUAUCUGUUCAACAAGCAUGGAAACCUCCACGAGGAAACCAGGAGGACGUUAAUACAGAAGGAGUCAGAUUAUUUACUUCAGAUAUGGCACAGUUUGUGCAACUCUGAAACACCAACAUUGCUGGUUCAUUUGCUACAAGUGAAUACUGAAAGAGAUGGUGAGAUAAGAUUUCUAUAAAGGCAUUCUCUUUAAUUUUGGCAGCCUUAUGCUCAGUUCAGAAGGCAUCUUUAACCUGAGACUGCAGGCACAGAGGGGAAAAAAUAUUUAAUAGCAUUUUUCCUUUUGCUAAAAACACAUGCACAGGCUCUAUCCACGCCACUAAAAACAUUUGGCUAAGAUGUUAAAAGCAGAUCUUGGCAUCUACUCUUUUUGUGUGGUCAUUGUUGGAAGCGAAUCUCACAGUAGAGGGAAACAAUCACAGAUGUCUUAAACAAAAGGCAGGAGAUGGAAAGACAAAGGAUAUUUGACAAACUGUCUCCUUAACAUUCUUUCUCAAUCCCGCAUGUGAAAAGAAACGCAGCGAGGCUCUAACAUCUAUUUUUCUCUCCAAGGUCCAUCAGGAUGCUUUCACAUCCUCACCCUCCAAGAACAGCCUUCAAGAAUAGCAAAUGUAUGCAGCUUAUUUAGGCCAAUGUAUCUAUUUUGGCAUAGGAGAAGAUGAACAAUCACAGAAAUAAUGGAUGGAAACCUUUCUAUCCUGUUAUUCCCCAAUUCAAGUACCAGGGCAGAUAGUCAGCAAGUAAAGGCUUUUGUGUUUAAAGACUAUUCAGUGAGCUGAGCUAAAGGAAUCUCUUGAUGGAUGGAGAAGAGUCAUUAAACAACAGAAGAGUCAAAAUUUUGAUCUCUAACCAGAUGUAAGUUGCUACUUGGGUAGUUGUGUAGAGAGGGGAGGAAAGGUGUGACUAGAAAAAGGGGGGAAAAAAAGUCAAGUAGAAGAUGCCACCUGGCAUUCCAUGUGAAGCAAAGGUACACACAUCCCUGUCCUUGUCUCCAGCAGUCUGAAGUAGAAAGCCUCUGAAGUUUCUACACUUCAGAUUCCUUAAUAGGGACAUUUUGCAUAAUUUUUCUAUAACUCUCAACCUCUGGUAAAUUAAGCUAAUAUCUGAAAUACAGUUUUGCACACAGGCAUCUGAUCAGACUUUUUUAGCUCUUUGCUUACUUUGUCUCUAUUUUCCU